UACGGAGGGAGCAAGCGUUGUUCGGAAUCAUUGGGCGUAAAGCGGGUGUAGGCGGCUUGAUAAGUCGGGUGUGAAAUCCCUGGGCCCAACCCAGGAACUGCACUCGAUACUGUCUCGCUAGAGUCCCGGAGAGGGUGGCAGAAUUCCCGGUGUAGAGGUGAAAUUCGUAGAUAUCGGGAGGAAUACCAGUGGCGAAGGCGGCCACCUGGACGGUGACUGACGCUCAGACCCGAAAGUGUGGGGAGCAAACAGG
rnacentral:rRNA from 1 species